rnacentral:rRNA from 1 species
CUUAGCCCUAAACAUAGAUAAUUUUACAACAAAAUAAUUCGCCAGAGGACUACUAGCAAUAGCUUAAAACUCAAAGGACUUGGCGGUGCUUUAUAUCCCUCUA